UACAGAGGUCCCAAGCGUUGUUCGGAUUCACUGGGCGUAAAGGGUGCGCAGGUGGGUUUGCAAGUUCGAUGUGAAAGCCCCGGGCUUAACCCGGGAAUGGCAUUGGAUACUGCAGAUCUGGAGGAUCGGAGGGGGGACUGGAAUUCUCGGUGUAGCAGUGAAAUGCGUAGAUAUCGAGAGGAACACCAGUGGCGAAGGCGAGUCUCUGGACAUUUCCUGACGCUGAGGCACGAAAGCCAGGGGAGCAAACGGG
rnacentral:rRNA from 1 species